rnacentral:rRNA from 1 species
CCAUCUGGAAGAAUCUGGAGACAGGUGCUGCAUGGCUGUCGUCAGCUCGUGUCGUGAGAUGUUGGGUUAAGUCCCGCAACGAGCGCAACCCUUGCCUUUAGUUGCCAGCAGUUCGGCUGGGCACUCUAAAGGGACUGCCGGUGUUAAACCGGAGGAAGGUGGGGAUGGACGUCAAGUCCUCAUGGCCUUUAUGACCAGGGCUACACACGUACUACAAUGGCCGAUACAAAGGGCAGCGACAACUGCGAGGUGAAGCCAAUCCCGUAAAAAUCGGUCUCAGUCCGGAUUGGAGUCUGCAACUCGACUCCAUGAAGUUGGAAAUCGCUAGUAAUCGUGGAUCAGCAUGCCACGGUGAAUACGUUCCCGGGCCUU